UACGGAGGGUGCAAGCGUUAUCCGGAUUCACUGGGUUUAAAGGGUGCGUAGGCGGGCAGGUAAGUCAGUGGUGAAAUCUCCGAGCUUAACUCGGAAACUGCCGUUGAUACUAUUUGUCUUGAAUAUUGUGGAGGUAAGCGGAAUAUGUCAUGUAGCGGUGAAAUGCUUAGAUAUGACAUAGAACACCAAUUGCGAAGGCAGCUCACUACCCAGAUAUUGACACUGAGGCACGAAAGCGUGGGGAUCAAACAGG
rnacentral:rRNA from 1 species